UGGCUCAGUUGGUAGAGCACGGUGUGUCCAACGCCAGGGUUGUGGGUUCGAUUCCCAC
rfam:Salmo salar isolate Sally breed double haploid chromosome ssa25, whole genome shotgun sequence.